rnacentral:rRNA from 1 species
AGUGUCGCAGGGAAACCGAUAAACACACCGCCUGGGGAGUACGACCGCAAGGUUAAAACUCAAAUGAAUUGACGGGGACCCGCACAAGUAGUGGAGCAUGUGGUUUAAUUCGAAGAUACGCGCAGAACCUUACCAACACUUGACAUGUUCGUCGCGACUCUAAGAGAUUAGAGUUUUCGGUUCGGCCGGACGAAACACAGGUGCUGCAUGGCUGUCGUCAGCUCGUGUCGUGAGAUGUUGGGUUAAGUCCCGCAACGAGCGCAACCCUCACUUUUAGUUGCCAUCAUUAAGUUGGGCACUCCGAAAGAACUGCCAGUGAUAAGCUGGAGGAAGGUGGGGAUGACGUCAAGUCCUCAUGGCCCUUACGUGUUGGGCUACACACGUGCUACAAUGGCAUCUACAACAGGAAGCAAAACGGCAACGUUAAGCAAAUCCCGAAAAGAUGCCUCAGUUCGGAUUGCACUCUGCAACUCGAGUGCAUGAAGCUGGAAUUACUAGUAAUCGUGGAUCAGCGUGCCACGGUGAAUGCGUUCCCGGGUCUUGUACACACCGCCCGUCACACCAUGGGAGUUGGUUCUACCUUAAGGCAAGGUUUUAAACCCUUGACCACGGUAUAGUCAGCGACUGGGGUGAAGUCGUAACAAGGUACC